rnacentral:rRNA from 1 species
CUCAGUUCGGAUUGGAGCUGNAACCCGACUCCAUGAAGCUGGAUUCGCUAGUAAUCGCGCAUCAGCCACGGCGCGGUGAAUAGUUCCCGGGCCUUGUACACACCGCCCGUCAAGCCAUGGAAGCCGGGAGUGCCUGAAGUACGCGACCGCAAGGAGCGUCCUAAGGUAAAACCGGUGACUGGGGCUAAGUCGUAACAAGGUAAC